rnacentral:misc_RNA from 1 species
AGUAGCGUCAUCGUUGAAACUGAAUAUAGGGGACGAUUCUGCGCUGCAACACCGCAAAUGUUGCGAUGCAGCUAAUCGUACAGCGCAUAUCUAGAGUAAGGAGUGAUUAAUCUUUCAGCUAAGAUUGUUCAGACUUAAUCGGCCUGUCUUCAUGCAGAAGCCAAUUUUAGCUCUGUAUUUCAUUGAGUUGACGCAAAGGAGACAUAAAUUCUGGUCCGCCCGGCACGACGGUAUUGGAAUAAGUAGCUACGCUAAGCCAUGUGCUGGAUAA